rnacentral:rRNA from 1 species
AUAUCAAUAAGCGGAGGAAAAGAAACUAACAAGGAUUCCCCUAGUAACUGCGAGUGAAGCGGGAAAAGCUCAAAUUUAAAAUCUGGUAGUCUCUGGCUGCCCGAGUUGUAAUCUAGAGAAGCGUUAUCCGUGCUGGACCGUGUAUAAGUCUCCUGGAAUGGAGCGUCAUAGAGGGUGAGAAUCCCGUCUUUGACACGGACUACCAGUGCAUUGUGAUGCGCUCUCGAAGAGUCGAGUUGUUUGGGAAUGCAGCUCUAAAUGGGUGGUAAAUUCCAUCUAAAGCUAAAUAUUGGCGAGAGACCGAUAGCGAACAAGUACCGUGAGGGAAAGAUGAAAAGAACUUUGGAAAGAGAGUUAAACAGUACGUGAAAUUGUUGAAAGGGAAACGCUUGAAGUCAGUCGCGUUAGCUUGGAAUCAGCCUUGCUUUUGCUUGGUGUACUUCCUUGUUGACGGGUCAGCAUCAAUUUUGACCGGUGGAAAAGGGCCAGUUGAAUGUGGCAUCUUCGGAUGUGUUAUAGCUUCUGGUCGUAUACAUCGGUUGGGAUUGAGGAACUCAGCACGCCGCAAGGUCGGGGUUCGCCCACGUUCGUGCUUAGGAUGCUGGCAUAAUGGCUUUAAUCGACCCGUCU